GUGCCAGCCGCCGCGGUAAUACGGAGGGUGCAAGCGUUGUCCGGAAUCACUGGGCGUAAAGGGUGCGCAGGCGGGGCAGCAAGUCGGAGGUGAAAGCCCAUGGCUCAACCAUGGAAGUGCCUUCGAAACUGUUGCUCUUGAGUCCCGGAGAGGCUGUCGGAAUUCGUGGUGUAGCGGUGAAGUGCGUAGAGAUCAGGAGGAACACCGGCGGCGAGAGCGACUGGCUGGAUCGGGACUGACGCUGAGGCACGAAAGCGUGGGCAGCGAACAGGAUUAGAAACCCCAGUAGUCC
rnacentral:rRNA from 1 species